ensembl:snoRNA small nucleolar RNA SNORD91 family
CUUAGGAGCCAAUGAUGUUUUUAUUCAAAAUGUCUGAACCUGUCUGAAGCAUCCCAGUGAUGCAAGCUGUUGUACUGAGGCUUCUCUGCUA